GUCGCUUUGGCCGAGUGGUUAAGGCGUGUGCCUGCUAAGUACGUGGGGUUACCCCGCGAGAGUUCGAAUCCCUCAGGCGACG
rnacentral:tRNA from 2 species